GGCUUGAGGUCAUAUGGUUGAGUGCUA
rnacentral:rRNA from 1 species